GCCACUCAGACGUAUCAAGAUGAUCUCCCAGGCUCAGCUCCUCUGGCUGCUAGUGCUCUGGAUCCAGGGCUCCAGUGGGCAGAUUGUGCUGACUCAGACUCCGGAAUCCCUGGCAGUUUUGCCAGGAGACAGAGUCACUAUCAACUGCAAAGCCAGUUCCAGCAUCACCAGUGGUAGCACUCACUACUUAGCCUGGUAUCAACAGAAAUCAGGACAAGCUCCGAAGCUACUUAUCUACUACGCUUCCACACGUGCCACUGGGAUCCCAGACCGGUUCACAGGCAGUGGAUCUGGAACCGAUUUCACUCUCACAAUCAGCAACGUUCAAGCUGAAGAUGCUGGAGAUUAUUAUUGUCAGCAAGGCUAUAGCUCACCGUACACUUUCGGCAAAGGGACCCGGGUAGAGAUCAAACGUAGAGAAAAUGCCAAGCCUUCGGUGUUCAUCUUUCCCCCAUCAGUCGACCAGCUGUCUCAAGCAACAGUCACCUUGGUGUGCCUGGUGAAUGGCUUCUACCCUAGUGCCUUGAAUGUGGUCUGGAAAACGGAUGAGACCACCACCACAACUGGUGUCCUCACCAGCACGAAGCAGCAAGAUUCUUCUGACAGCACGUACAGCCUGAGCAGCACCCUGACACUUUCGAAAGAUCAGUACAACUCGCACAACGACUAUAGCUGCGAGGUGACGCACGAAACCGUGCCGGGCUCUCUUGUCAAGAGUUUCAAGAGAUCGGAUUGUACGCAGUAGGGGGAUCCCAGGGAAAGAUCCCUGCCUCCUCUUUGCAGCCUUUCUUAUGCUUUGUUUAUGUAACUAUCAGUCUUUUUUUUUUCCUCCCAAAAUAUGAUGACCGAGAUCUUCCAGGUCUCACCUCCUGCCUUACCCCUUGCUAACGGUACUGGAUAACCAGGCCCUGCCUGAUUUUACCCUGCUGCCUUAUGAGGUUUCCUGCUUUUAUCAUGUUUCAACUUCAAAAAUGAAUAAAUAAAUGAAAUCAAUGAAACAGCA